AAAAUGGCUUUUCUCAAAGCCACACGGUGGCUAUCACAAGGUGU
rfam:Neotoma lepida isolate 417 scaffold_22075, whole genome shotgun sequence.